AAGCUGAGCAGUUAGGCUCUGUGUUGCUCAUUCCCUUUUCAUGACCCUGUUGAUUUUCUGUCUUAACUCCCCAGUAGGAGGCUGAGCAGGUGGUCGCCUAGAGCACCCAAGUGAGCACGACAGUGGAGCAAACCAGCAUACGUCUGCAGCAUACAUCUGUAAUCUCCUCCUGGGUCUUAUGCCCAAACCCUGCCCUGACUUCUAGACCCCUGCAGUGGAGGCAGGAACUGAACACAGCCUAUCUGCAUCCCAGUGCAGGACUUCAAGCACUAAAUGCUCCUUUCCCUUCCAAUGCAUGUGCAUUCGUGGCUUUACAGGAGAUAAAUUAGAUUUGCUGCUCUCUGCUGAUGAUUAGCAGGGCUUAGAAACGUGGAUUUCUCACCCAGACAAUAACAGAUAGCAUGAAUGCAGAGCGCUGGUAGGAUGGCCAGACAUCGCCCCACUUCUAGGAUUUCAUUCUCCCAUUUACUAAAGCAAUAUCCUUGAAUUUAAAUGGACAACAGAUGCUGAAUUUUGAGUGAAAUCUGUCAGAGAGGACUCAAAGAAAGGGCAAAGAUGGGCAGGUGGCGGUUAUCAUGGAGCUUUCCUCACCACCUGUGGCUGGGGCACGGUGGGUUUCACUGGCUCAGAAAAGCAUCAGAGCAGCCCAGCAUGCAGCUGUGCUUACUGAAAGCCUCUGGGAAUAAGGCUUUGCUCACCUGCCUGCACCUAACGCAGACUGAAAGCACACAACCACUCUGCUGUGGGACUGACCGAAUGACCUGGGGUUUGAUGAAUUGUGAUUCAAUUCAACAGCUCCUGACAAGGUUCCAGAAAUAUCUGGCACAUGAGGAUCCCACAGCCACCCUCAUCGAUCCCCUGCCACCACUUAAUUGAAUUAUAACACCAUAAAUAAUCUGGAGGGUAUCUCAGAGGUACCCCAUAAAACUUUCAGGGAUGCUGCCUGGCAGGUGACCUAUUUGGUGAGGUGCAGACAGGUUUCUUGGGAUUUUCUUCAAACUCAUUAUCUCAGUAUUUCCUGAUGUGUCUUUACUGCAAAAGCAUUAACCAUUAAAAAAAAAAAAAAAAGUAUUAAACUAUUUAAUUUAUGAACAGCUAGUCCCAAACCAA
rnacentral:lncRNA from 1 species